CAAUAGGGGACCAGCCUUACACGUGUAAGUCGAGCGGUAGCACAGAGAGCUUGCUCUCGGGUGACGAGCGGCGGACGGGUGAGUAAUGUCUGGGAAACUGCCUGAUGGAGGGGGAUAACUACUGGAAACGGUAGCUAAUACCGCAUAACGUCGCAAGACCAAAGUGGGGGACCUUCGGGCCUCAUGCCAUCAGAUGUGCCCAGAUGGGAUUAGCUAGUAGGUGGGGUAACGGCUCACCUAGGCGACGAUCCCUAGCUGGUCUGAGAGGAUGACCAGCCACACUGGAACUGAGACACGGUCCAGACUCCUACGGGAGGCAGCAGUGGGGAAUAUUGCACAAUGGGCGCAAGCCUGAUGCAGCCAUGCCGCGUGUGUGAAGAAGGCCUUCGGGUUGUAAAGCACUUUCAGCGGGGAGGAAGGCGAUAAGGUUAAUAACCUUGUCGAUUGACGUUACCCGCAGAAGAAGCACCGGCUAACUCCGUGCCAGCAGCCGCGGUAAUACGGAGGGUGCAAGCGUUAAUCGGAAUUACUGGGCGUAAAGCGCACGCAGGCGGUCUGUCAAGUCGGAUGUGAAAUCCCCGGGCUCAACCUGGGAACUGCAUUCGAAACUGGCAGGCUAGAGUCUUGUAGAGGGGGGUAGAAUUCCAGGUGUAGCGGUGAAAUGCGUAGAGAUCUGGAGGAAUACCGGUGGCGAAGGCGGCCCCCUGGACAAAGACUGACGCUCAGGUGCGAAAGCGUGGGGAGCAAACAGGAUUAGAUACCCUGGUAGUCCACGCCGUAAACGAUGUCGAUUUGGAGGUUGUGCCCUUGAGGCGUGGCUUCCGGAGCUAACGCGUUAAAUCGACCGCCUGGGGAGUACGGCCGCAAGGUUAAAACUCAAAUGAAUUGACGGGGGCCCGCACAAGCGGUGGAGCAUGUGGUUUAAUUCGAUGCAACGCGAAGAACCUUACCUGGUCUUGACAUCCACAGAACUUUCCAGAGAUGGAUUGGUGCCUUCGGGAACUGUGAGACAGGUGCUGCAUGGCUGUCGUCAGCUCGUGUUGUGAAAUGUUGGGUUAAGUCCCGCAACGAGCGCAACCCUUAUCCUUUGUUGCCAGCGGUUAGGCCGGGAACUCAAAGGAGACUGCCAGUGAUAAACUGGAGGAAGGUGGGGAUGACGUCAAGUCAUCAUGGCCCUUACGACCAGGGCUACACACGUGCUACAAUGGCAUAUACAAAGAGAAGCGACCUCGCGAGAGCAAGCGGACCUCAUAAAGUAUGUCGUAGUCCGGAUUGGAGUCUGCAACUCGACUCCAUGAAGUCGGAAUCGCUAGUAAUCGUAGAUCAGAAUGCUACGGUGAAUACGUUCCCGGGCCUUGUACACACCGCCCGUCACACCAUGGGAGUGGGUUGCAAAAGAAGUAGGUAGCUUAACCUUCGCGCAGGCGCACACACAUUAAGUGCAUUGUCCCA
rnacentral:rRNA from 2 species